rnacentral:rRNA from 1 species
GCAGGUUGAAGCGCGGGUAAGACCGCGUGGAGGACCGAACCCACCUGGGUUGAAAACCGGGGGGAUGACCUGGGGCUAGGGGUGAAAGGCCAAUCAAAUUCCGUGAUAGCUGGUUCUCUCCGAAAUGCAUUUAGGUGCAGCGUCGGUCGAUUGCGUCGCGGGGGUAGAGCUACCGGAUGCUUGCGGGCCCUUGUUGGGUACCAACAGCAGCCGAACUCCGAAUACCGUUGACGUGUAUUCCGGCAGUGAGUCGGCGGGGGAUAAGCUCCGUCGUCGAGAGGGAGACAGCCCAGACCGUCGUCUAAGGUCCCGAAGCGUGUGCUAAGUGGGAAAGGAUGUGGAGUCGCAUAGACAGCCAGGAGGUUGGCUCAGAAGCAGCCAUCCUUGAAAGAGUGCGUAACAGCUCACUGGUCUAGUGGUUCCGCGCCGACAAUGUAGCGGGGCUCAAGCACACCACCGAAGACGCGGCAGCAAUCUUCAUGGUUGCUGGGUAGGAGAGCGUCCUGCGAGGGGCGAAGCGGCCGGGUAACCGUGCCGUGGACUUCGUGGGAGUGAGAAUGCAGACAUGAGUAGCGAGAGACGGGUGAGGAUCCCGUCCGCUGGAUGACCAAGGGUUCCGGGGCCACGUUCGUCGUCCCCGGGUGAGUCGGGUCCUAAGGCGAGGCCGACAGGCGUAGUCGAAUGGAUGAACGGGUGGAUAUUCCCGUACCGACCAUGGACCGGCAAAACCGAGACGGUGAGUACUAACCUCCGCCUCGUGGUGGUUCCUUCCUUCGGGUUGGUGUCGCCGCGUGGUGUUGGGACUGUAGCCGUAGUAGGUCAGCGCAGGGGUGACACGGAAUGGGAGCCGGCCGCGGAGGUGGUUUUCCGUGGUCAAGCACGCAGCCAGUCAUGUAGGCAAAUCCGCAUGGCGCGCAUGGCGAGGUGUGAUGAUGGGAGCCGUUAUGGCUCGAUAUCCGGUUGUCCAGGCCGUCGAGAAAAGCCUCGGCGUGAGGGCCAUGGCCGCCCGUACCCCAAACCGACACUGGUGGUCAGGUAGAGAAUACCAAGGCGAUCGAGCGAAUCCUGGUCAAGGAACUCGGCAAAUCACUCCCGUGCCUUCGGUAUAAGGGAGACCCGCUGGGGUGAACCGGCUAGCCCGGGGAGCUUUGGUGGGUGGCACAGACCAGGGGGUAGCGACUGUUUACCAAAAACACAGGUGCAUGCGAAGGCGAAAGCCGCUGUAUAUGCACUGACGCCUGCCCGGUGCCGGAAGGUUAAGAGGAUCCGUCAGUCCCUUCGGGAUGAAGCGGUGAAUUCAAGCCCCGGUAAACGGCGGUGGUAACUAUAACCAUCCUAAGGUAGCGAAAUUCCUUGUCGGGUAAGUUCCGACCUGCACGAAUGGCGUAACGA